GGAAGCGUGGGUGAGCCUGGUUUAAACCAACGGGUUGCUAACUCGUCGUAGAGGGAAACUUCUACCAUCCGUUCAAAUCGGAUCGCUUCCGCCA
rnacentral:tRNA from 1 species